UGGGGAAUAUUGCACAAUGGGCGAAAGCCUGAUGCAGCAACGCCGCGUGAGUGAUGAAGGCCUUCGGGUUGUAAAGCUCUGUCUUUUGGGACGAUAAUGACGGUACCAAAGGAGGAAGCCACGGCUAACUACGUGCCAGCAGCCGCGGUAAUACGUAGGUGGCAAGCGUUGUCCGGAUUUACUGGGCGUAAAGGAUGCGUAGGCGGAUUUUUAAGUGAGAUGUGAAAACCCCUAAGCUUAACUUGGGGACUGCAUUUCAUACUGGAAAUCUAGAGUGCGGGAGAGGAGAAUGGAAUUCCUAGUGUAGCGGUGAAAUGCGUAGAGAUUAGGAAGAACACCAGUGGCGAAGGCGAUUCUCUGGACCGUAACUGACGCUGAGGCAUGAAAGCGUGGGUAGCAAACAGGAUUAGAUACCCUGGUAGUCCACGCCGUAAACGAUGAGUACUAGGUGUAGGAGGUAUCGACCCCCUUCUGUGCCGCAGUUAACACAAUAAGUACUCCGCCUGGGAAGUACGAUCGCAAGAUUAAAACUCAAAGGAAUUGACGGGGUCAUAGCUGUUUUCCU
rnacentral:rRNA from 1 species